rnacentral:rRNA from 1 species
GUGGGGAAUAUUGCACAAUGGGCGAAAGCCUGAUGCAGCAACGCCGCGUGAGUGAUGACGGCCUUCGGGUUGUAAAACUCUGUCUUCAGGGACGAUAAUGACGGUACCUGAGGAGGAAGCCACGGCUAACUACGUGCCAGCAGCCGCGGUAAUACGUAGGUGGCAAGCGUUGUCCGGAUUUACUGGGCGUAAAGGGAGCGUAGGCGGAUGUUUAAGUGGGAUGUGAAAUACUCGGGCUCAACUUGAGUGCUGCAUUCCAAACUGGAUAUCUAGAGUGCAGGAGAGGAAAGGAGAAUUCCUAGUGUAGCGGUGAAAUGCGUAGAGAUUAGGAAGAAUACCAGUGGCGAAGGCGCCUUUCUGGACUGUAACUGACGCUGAGGCUCGAAAGCGUGGGGAGCAAACAGGAUUAGAAACCCUAGUAGUCC